AACCAUAGAAACCUGCGGAGUACCUGCGGAGGGAUCAUUACCGAGUUUACAACUCCCAAACCCCUGUGAACAUACCUAUACGUUGCCUCGGCGGAUCAGCCCGCGCCCUGUAAAACGGGACGGCCCGCCCGAGGACCCUAAACUCUGUUUUUAGUGGAACUUCUGAGUAAAACAAACAAAUAAAUCAAAACUUUUAGCAACGGAUCU
rnacentral:misc_RNA from 1 species